CGACACGCGCUCGCCCACCCUCCCGCCGGGCCCCGCGCGGAGCUGCGUCCGGGGCUGAGGUGCUGUGGCCGGCGUCUCGUCCGCUCGGUGGCCCAAGACAGCCGGACAGAGACGGCAGCGACAGGAGCACCACAGGCAGCAACGCCGAACUCCGACCGGCCCGCGCCGCCACCUCCGCCGCACGCAAACACGCACGCAAAGCUCACAGAAUUGGCUGCUGCCACUGCUGAGGAUGGUGAAGACAGGGCCAGGCCUUGAGUAAGCAGUACCUUUGCAGUCUGAGCCAAGAUGAUCAGCAGAUGGCGCCAUGGCCCAGCUACAGGCAUGACCUCUCAUGGAUGCAAAAAAUGACCUUCCCACCCAACCUGGCUCUGGGUCUGGCUAACAGCCCGCCCGCCCACCCACCUAUCUGAGCUAAGCCUCUGUGCUGAGUCAGGUGAGUGAGUCAGGGCUCACUGCCCUGAGCAACACAGUGAGAGACGUGACUGGGAACUAAUGUUUGAGAAGAACAAGAGACCCAAGGACAGGUGUACGUGUUGUGUGUGGUGGGGGGGGAAGUCUCCAAGGGGCCUAGAGACCAGAGGGACCCUGCUCUAGAAAGGAGUAGCCUGAGGAUAGAGAUGAAUGGGAAGAUAUUGUCACUGGAAAUAUGUGGGCUUGGGCUGGUUAAUCAACUUCACUCUUCUGUCCACCCCCAAGAUUCCCCUCCACAUUCAUUCAUUUUUUUUAAAUUCAUGAAAUACACAGUGCUGAAGCUGUGCAAGGAGCAGCCCUAGAUGUUGGGGCCACAGAGACAAGUGAAGUACUGAUCCCUACCUGGGUGCGAUGGCGGUGGGAUGAGGACUGAGCAGCAAAGGCUUCAUAGAGAAGAUGCUCCUCCAGCUGACUCCUGACAGAUACCAGCUGGACAAGGCAGGGAAGGGAGUCCAGGCUGAAGGAACAGCCUGGAGAAAGGCAGGGCAAUGAAACAGCCUGGCACAUUACAGGAACUGUAAAGAUUUCAGUGCGGGUGGAGAAGAGGGUGCAAAUCGGGGUGGAGUGAGAGCUGCAGCCGGAGACAGGUCCUGCCGAGCCUGGCGGGCCGUGGGUGAGUGGUGGUGGCGUCCACCAGGAUGGUGACCACGAGGAGGAGAAGAAGCAGGUCUAGCAGAGGGGCUGCUGAGAUAAGGAGUAAGCUUGAGACAUGUUGAGCGUGAUCUUUCCGUGGAGUGCACCAUCAUCCCAGAGUCCCCGGGGAGCCUGGGUUGUUACUUUCACACUCUCCUGUUCCCUGCCCAUCCGACGCCCUAGCAGAACAAGGCUGUGCUCUGCCUGUGGCCACUUCAUCUCCAUAUUCCAGGCCCCACUUUAGACGUUUUCUUUCUGACCCAGAACCACCCUGUUGCACAGCUCUGGGAGGCACCAGUGACCAUAGUAUUUGGUGUGAAGG